rnacentral:rRNA from 1 species
AACGUAGGAGACAAACGUUAUCCGGAGUUACUGGGCGUAAAGGGCGUGUAGGUGGUUUCGUAAGUCUGGCGUGAAAUAUCUCGGCUUAACCGAGGCAGGUCGUCGGAUACUGCGGGACUAGAGGACGGUAGAGGCGUGUGGAAUUCCGGGUGUAGUGGUGAAAUGCGUAGAGAUCCGGAGGAACACCAGUGGCGAAGGCGACACGCUGGGCCGUACCUGACACUGAUGCGCGACAGCAUGGGGAGCAAACAGG